GAUGAACGCUGGCGGCGUGCCUAAUACAUGCAAGUCGAGCGAACAGAUGAGGAGCUUGCUCCUCUGACGUUAGCGGCGGACGGGUGAGUAACACGUGGAUAACCUACCUAUAAGACUGGGAUAACUUCGGGAAACCGGAGCUAAUACCGGAUAAUAUAUUGAACCGCAUGGUUCAAUAGUGAAAGACGGUUUUGCUGUCACUUAUAGAUGGAUCCGCGCCGCAUUAGCUAGUUGGUAAGGUAACGGCUUACCAAGGCAACGAUGCGUAGCCGACCUGAGAGGGUGAUCGGCCACACUGGAACUGAGAUACGGUCCAGACUCCUACGGGAGGCAGCAGUAGGGAAUCUUCCGCGAUGGGCGAAAGCCUGACGGAGCAACGCCGCGUGAGUGAUGAAGGUCUUCGGAUCGUAAAACUCUGUUAUUAGGGAAGAACAAAUGUGUAAGUAACUAUGCACGUCUUGACGGUACCUAAUCAGAAAGCCACGGCUAACUACGUG
rnacentral:rRNA from 1 species